CUACCUAUAAGACUGGGAUAACUUCGGGAAACCGGAGCUAAUACCGGAUAACAUGUUGAACCGCAUGGUUCAACAGUGAAAGACGGUCUUGCUGUCACUUAUAGAUGGAUCCGCGCUGCAUUAGCUAGUUGGUAAGGUAACGGCUUACCAAGGCAACGAUGCAUAGCCGACCUGAGAGGGUGAUCGGCCACACUGGAACUGAGACACGGUCCAG
rnacentral:rRNA from 1 species